rnacentral:rRNA from 1 species
UACGGAGGAUGCAAGCGUUAUCCGGAUUUAUUGGGCGUAAAGCGUCCGCAGGUGGCUAUUCAAGUCUGCUGUCAAAGCUCGGAGCUUAACUCCGAAUCGGCGGUGGAAACUGAACAGCUAGAGUGCAGUAGGGGUAGAGGGAAUUCCCAGUGUAGCGGUGAAAUGCGUAGAGAUUGGGAAGAACACCGGUGGCGAAAGCGCUCUACUGGACUGCAACUGACACUGAGGGACGA